UACAGAGGGUGCGAGCGUUAAUCGGAAUUACUGGGCGUAAAGCGCGCGUAGGCGGCUUUUCAAGUCGAUUGUGAAAUCCCCGGGCUUAACCUGGGAACUGCGUUUGAAACUACAAGGCUAGAGUGUGGCAGAGGGGGGUGGAAUUCCACGUGUAGCAGUGAAAUGCGUAGAGAUGUGGAGGAACACCGAUGGCGAAGGCAGCCCCCUGGGUUAACACUGACGCUCAGGCACGAAAGCGUGGGGAGCAAACAGG
rnacentral:rRNA from 1 species